AAGCCAGUGGUGAACUCCACAUACGCAUCCUUUGCUGAGGAUACGGUUAACGGAGCGAAAGCGACGUUCAACCUCAAAAGAAGCAGAGGGGGCUUAGUGGUGGGGUGACUGCGUACCUUUUGUAUAAUGGGUCAGCGACUUAUAUUCUGUAGCAAGGUUAACCGAAUAGGGGAGCCGGAGGGAAACCGAGUCUUAACCGGGCGUUAAGUUGCAGGGUAUAGACCCGAAACCCGGUGAUCUAGCCAUGGGCAGGUUGAAGGUUGGGUAACACUAACUGGAGGACCGAACCGACUAAUGUUGAAAAAUUAGCGGAUGACCUGUGGCUGGGGGUGAAAGGCCAAUCAAACCGGGAGAUAGCUGGUUCUCCCCGAAAGCUAUUUAGGUAGCGCCUCGUGAACUCAUCUCCGGGGGUAGAGCACUGUUUCGGCUAGGGGGCCAUCCCGGCUUACCAACCCGAUGCAAACUGCGAAUACCGGAGAAUGUUAUCACGGGAGACACACGGCGGGUGCUAACGUCCGUCGUGAAGAGGGAAACAACCCAGACCGCCAGCUAAGGUCCCAAAGUCAUGGUUAAGUGGGAAACGAUGUGGGAAGGCCCAGACAGCCAGGAUGUUGGCUUAGAAGCAGCCAUCAUUUAAAGAAAGCGUAAUAGCUCACUGGUCGAGUCGGCCUGCGCGGAAGAUGUAACGGGGCUAAACCAUGCACCGAAGCUGCGGCAGCGAACGUAUCACCCAAGACAACUUUACGGAGUUGACGAUUGACGGAGCGAAGCGACGUCAAAGCGUUCAUUAAAGUCGAGUUGGCUUAGGGAUACGUUCGUUGGGUAGGGGAGCGUUCUGUAAGCCUGUGAAGGUGGCCUGUGAGGGUUGCUGGAGGUAUCAGAAGUGCGAAUGCUGACAUAAGUAACGAUAAUGCGGGUGAAAAACCCGCACGCCGGAAGACCAAGGGUUCCUGUCCAACGUUAAUCGGGGCAGGGUGAGUCGACCCCUAAGGCGAGGCCGAAAGGCGUAGUCGAUGGGAAACAGGUUAAUAUUCCUGUACUUGGUGUUACUGCGAAGGGGGGACGGAGAAGGCUAUGUUAGCCGGGCGACGGUUGUCCCGGUUUAAGCAUGUAGGCGGAGGUUCCAGGUAAAUCCGGUACCUUAUUAACGCUGAGGUGUGAUGACGAGGCACUACGGUGCUGAAG
rnacentral:rRNA from 1 species